GACGAACGUUGGCGGCGUGCCUAAUACAUGCAAGUCGAACGAAGUCGCCCAAUUGAUUCUUAGUGCUUGCACUAAGAUGAUUUUGGAUCCGACUGAGUGGCGAACUGGUGAGUAACACGUGGGUAACCUGCCCAGAAGAAGGGGAUAACACCUGGAAACAGAUGCUAAUACCGUAUAACAACAAGAACCACAUGGUUCUUGUUUGAAAGCUGGCCUUUGUGCUAGUGCUUCUGGAUGGACCCGCGGCGUAUUAGCUAGUUGGUGAGAUAAUAGCUCACCAAGGCGAUGAUACGUAGCAGACCUGAGAGGGUAAUCUGCCACAAUGGGACUGAGACACGGCCCAUACUCCUACGGGAGGCAGCAGUAGGGAAUCUUCCACAAUGGACGAAAGUCUGAUGGAGCAACGCCGCGUGAGUGAAGAAGGGUUUCGGCUCGUAAAACUCUGUUGUUAGAGAAGAACAGCCGUGAGAGCAACUGCUCACGGUA
rnacentral:rRNA from 1 species